GGCCUACCAUGGUUUUAACGGGUAACGGGGAAUUAGGGUUCGAUUCCGGAGAGGGAGCCUGAGAAACGGCUACCACAUCCAAGGAAGGCAGCAGGCGCGCAAAUUACCCAAUCCCGACACGGGGAGGUAGUGACAAUAAAUAACAAUACAGGGCUCUUACGGGUCUUGUAAUUGGAAUGAGUACAAUUUAAAUCCCUUAACGAGGAACAAUUGGAGGGCAAGUCUGGUGCCAGCAGCCGCGGUAAUUCCAGCUCCAAUAGCGUAUAUUAAAGUUGUUGCAGUUAAAAAGCUCGUAGUUGAAUUUCGGGAUUCUACCGUUGGUCGGGCUAACAAGUCUGUACUGGUGUGUAGAAUUUCUACCUUCUGGGGAACUAUCAUGUUAUUAAUUUAGCGUGGUGGGAAACCAGGACCUUUACCUUGAAAAAAUUAGAGUGUUCAAAGCAGGCUUACGUCUGAAUACAUUAGCAUGGAAUAAUAGAAUAGGACGGUGGUCCUGUUUUGUUGGUUUCUGAAUCACCGUAAUGAUUAAUAGGGAUAGUUGGGGGCAUUAGUAUUCAAUUGUCAGAGGUGAAAUUCUUGGAUUUAUUGAAGACUAACUUUUGCGAAAGCAUUUGCCAAGGAUGUUUUCAUUAAUCAAGAACGAAAGUUAGGGGAUCGAAGACGAUCAGAUACCGUCGUAGUCCUAACCAUAAACUAUGCCGACUAGGGAUCGGACGAUGUUAAUUUUAUUGACUCGUUCGGCGCCUUACG
rnacentral:rRNA from 1 species